CAGAUUUCCUUCUCUGCUGUUUGCGCUCAGCCUUUACCAGAGGGUCACGUGACCAGCAGUAACCAUGAGGACCUGUUUUCUGCCAUGAUAUUUCCUCCAGAGUACAUGCUCUUGGUUUUCUGAAUCCCCGGAAUGCUGGGCCAGUUGGCUCAGUGGGAGCUGCCAUUCCAACCCCCAAGGCAGGGUUGUUUCUUUAGCUGGCGGGUGGCUUUUGGUACCAAACAAGUAACUUUCCUUUCCCAUGAACUUGUCUGCAGUCCCAAAUGACUUGGGUCACUCUGCCGACCCUGUUAUCUGCUUUAUUCCAGCUUUUACUCCAGCUAAGGUGGGGAGCCUGUAGAUUCCUGGGGUCCCACAGAGGUGACAUAGCAAUGAGAGAGCUGAUGAUGUCUCAUAUUCAUGACACACCUUUGCCUGGAUUCACAAGUGUGGCUACACAGGGAGCACAGAGACCAAGGGUUGAGGAGCCAAGGUUCUCGGCCUCCCUCCUGCCGUCUGACUAUCCGAACUUGAACAAGCCUUUCUGAAGCUCUCUGCCACCUGUCUACCAGUGUAAACUGUGAUCCAGGGAAACAAAAUCUCAGACAUCUUUUCUGACCUAAAUUGUCUCUCCUAUUCAUUCCAUGGAGUGUGCCUAAUAAUAAGAGCAAACCCCUGCCACAUGCCAGAUGCAGUUCUAAACACUUUAUACAGAUGGACUCAUUUAAUCUUCAAAACAACACUGAGAGGUCUCCAGAAGCCCUGUCUUGUAGAUCUGCGUCUCCAGUUAACUGUCCACUUCUUAAUGAGAAAGGAAUCUGCUGUUAGUGCCAUCUCUAAAAGAAGACAAAUAGGUCUUUAAUUAAGAUUGACACACAUGGCUCCUGCUUUCUCCUUGUUAAAGGCAUUGUCAACGGAUCACGGGUCUUUCUCAUUCCCUGAACUUCGCCUCGGAACUUCUCUCAGCAAAAGAUGUUGCCCACUUGCCAUUUCUAGGCCAGGAGGAAGAGACUGGAAGUCUGGAGAGUCUUUCUUGUUUUGUCUCAAGAGUCUCAUUCUGUCUGUCACCCAGGCUGGACUGCAGUUGAAAGGUGAAGCCGGCCGGGCUUCUGGGUCUGGUGGGGACUUGGAGAACUCUUCCGCCUGGUUGAAGAAUUGUAAACACACCAAUCAGCGCUCUG